CUGCCCUGUGGGGUCCUGCGCUGGAAGGACAGCAGGUCCCUGCCGGGCGGAG
ensembl:miRNA